GCCCCCAUCGACUAGCGGCCCAGGUCACAGCCCUUUCAAGGCUGCAGCGCGGGUUCGAAUCCCGCUGGGGGCA
rnacentral:tRNA from 1 species